CAUGUGCAUUUGUGUGUGUCAGUGUGUGUGCAUGUGCAUGUGUGUCUGUGUGCAUAUGUAUAUAUCUAUUCAUGUAUGUAUGUGCAUGUGUGUGCAUAUGUAUACCUGUGUGUGCAUGUG
rnacentral:miRNA from 14 species